UACGGAGGGUGCAAGCGUUAUCCGGAAUCACUGGGUUUAAAGGGUGCGUAGGCGGUCUUGUAAGUCAGUCGUGAAAUCGCUGGGCUCAACCCAUGCAAUUGCGAUUGAUACUGCGAGACUUGAAUGGGGUUUAGGCAGGCGGAAUGUGGCAUGUAGCGGUGAAAUGCAUAGAUAUGCCAUAGAACACCGAUUGCGAAGGCAGCCUGCUGGGCCUUUAUUGACGCUGAGGCACGAAAGCGUGGGGAGCAAACAGG
rnacentral:rRNA from 1 species